CUCUCUGUUUCAUGUAGGUGUGCUUUUAAAUUUACCACAGUGGUGGGUUUUAUUGUGUUACCGUAGUAUUUCACAGUUACUCACGCGAGGGAAAGUAACUGAGUGGUCAUCUUCUCAGCUUGACUCCGAACAUAGACCCAGUUAUGUAAGGAGGAACGGAAAAGAGUCCCUGUGCCAAACAGAUUAGCAGAUUAGUAACAAGAUAGCAGCCCGGCUACUCGACCCUGGCACAUCACAGCAUCAAUGUUGCCGUCCCAUCUCGGUACGCAGGGGACUCGAGGGGUCACUGCCACCUGCCAGCCAUCAUGGAACAGCACGCUGAUGGUGAUGUAACUGUGAGGGAGACCACAGAUGUGCAGUGACCAGCAGCACUCUCAAAGCAAUCCGACCCCCCCGCCCCCCUCCCUCCCGCCUCGUGACCUCCAGCGCAGCGUCACACGAGAUGAGAAGCAGAAACAGCGUCUCGUGUUUCGGCGCCUCGGUGCCGUUGGAGACGGACACCGUUGACCUGCUGCUUCGUUUUCCGUCCACGGAGCCUCGUCUCGGCCGAUCGGGUGAGCGGCGGGAGGCUCUCCAGCUCGGCUUCCAGGAUGAAAUAUUCAGCAGGAGCUCGGUGGGGUUGCUUGCUGUUAGAAAUGGGCCUGAUGGGAGGACUUGUCAGGGCCGAUGGAAAGCGUCAUUCACAACAACAUUUACCCGUCUCCCCCUCUUUGUCUCACAUGCUACUUCAGAAAUGUGAAGCUCAGAGAAAUGCACUCCACAAUAACUGCACUCACGUUGCACUAGUGCUAAAGUCACUUUUAAUGCACGAUUGCAGACAUUUGUUUUUGUUGAAUUCUUAUUUAGGUCCCUAUGAAUGAGGCGGUGAGGACAUUCAGGCUCGAGUGAACCUUUCUAAAUCAACAGUCUGUGCCAAAAGUACCAAAGUUUAUUUACCCACAAAAGAGAGUUUUUUUUCUGAAUUUUAACUUAAAUCGCAAUAACUGUGACAGAGAGAUACUUGGAGGCAGCUGUUUGUAACUUGGAUUUAAGGAACACAGAAUGGUUGUUGCAUAGAGAUUAGUUAUGCUACUUUAUUGAUACGUGACCGGUUCAGUUAGAGAUGAAUUCAGUAAUAUAGAAUAAUGUUGGAACAUAUCUGACCUGAAACCUGAUAGAUGCAGUUUAAUCUAGUUUUGA
ensembl:lncRNA